CACACUAUCAUUAACUGAAUCCAUAGGUUAAUGAGGCGAACCGGGGGAACUGAAACAUCUAAGUACCCCGAGGAAAAGAAAUCAACCGAGAUUCCCCCAGUAGCGGCGAGCGAACGGGGAGCAGCCCAGAGCCUGAAUCAGUAUGUGUGUUAGUGGAAGCGUCUGGAAAGGCGCGCGAUACAGGGUGACAGCCCCGUACACAAAAAUGCACAUGCUGUGAGCUCGAUGAGUAGGGCGGGACACGUGGUAUCCUGUCUGAAUAUGGGGGGACCAUCCUCCAAGGCUAAAUACUCCUGACUGACCGAUAGUGAACCAGUACCGUGAGGGAAAGGCGAAAAGAACCCCGGCGAGGGGAGUGAAAAAGAACCUGAAACCGUGUACGUACAAGCAGUGGGAGCACGCUUAGGCGUGUGACUGCGUACCUUUUGUAUAAUGGGUCAGCGACUUAUAUUCUGUAGCAAGGUUAACCGAAUAGGGGAGCCGAAGGGAAACCGAGUCUUAACUGGGCGUUAAGUUGCAGGGUAUAGACCCGAAACCCGGUGAUCUAGCCAUGGGCAGGUUGAAGGUUGGGUAACACUAACUGGAGGACCGAACCGACUAAUGUUGAAAAAUUAGCGGAUGACUUGUGGCUGGGGGUGAAAGGCCAAUCAAACCGGGAGAUAGCUGGUUCUCCCCGAAAGCUAUUUAGGUAGCGCCUCGUGAAUUCAUCUCCGGGGGUAGAGCACUGUUUCGGCAAGGGGGUCAUCCCGACUUACCAACCCGAUGCAAACUGCGAAUACCGGAGAAUGUUAUCACGGGAGACACACGGCGGGUGCUAACGUCCGUCGUGAAGAGGGAAACAACCCAGACCGCCAGCUAAGGUCCCAAAGUCAUGGUUAAGUGGGAAACGAUGUGGGAAGGCCCAGACAGCCAGGAUGUUGGCUUAGAAGCAGCCAUCAUUUAAAGAAAGCGUAAUAGCUCACUGGUCGAGUCGGCCUGCGCGGAAGAUGUAACGGGGCUAAACCAUGCACCGAAGCUGCGGCAGCGACGCUGAUGCGUUGUUGGGUAGGGGAGCGUUCUGUAAGCCUGUGAAGGUGUGCUGUGAGGCAUGCUGGAGGUAUCAGAAGUGCGAAUGCUGACAUAAGUAACGAUAAAGCGGGUGAAAAGCCCGCUCGCCGGAAGACCAAGGGUUCCUGUCCAACGUUAAUCGGGGCAGGGUGAGUCGACCCCUAAGGCGAGGCCGAAAGGCGUAGUCGAUGGGAAACAGGUUAAUAUUCCUGUACUUGGUGUUACUGCGAAGGGGGGACGGAGAAGGCUAUGUUGGCCGGGCGACGGUUGUCCCGGUUUAAGCGUGUAGGCUGGUUUUCCAGGCAAAUCCGGAAAAUCAAGGCUGAGGCGUGAUGACGAGGCACUACGGUGCUGAAGCAACAAAUGCCCUGCUUCCAGGAAAAGCCUCUAAGCAUCAGGUAACAUCAAAUCGUACCCCAAACCGACACAGGUGGUCAGGUAGAGAAUACCAAGGCGCUUGAGAGAACUCGGGU
rnacentral:rRNA from 1 species